GGGUUGUGAGGUUAAGCGACUAAGCGUACACGGUGGAUGCCCUGGCAGUCAGAGGCGAUGAAGGACGUGCUAAUCUGCGAUAAGCGUCGGUAAGGUGAUAUGAACCGUUAUAACCGGCGAUUUCCGAAUGGGGAAACCCAGUGUGAUUCGUCACACUAUCAUUAACUGAAUCCAUAGGUUAAUGAGGCGAACCGGGGGAACUGAAACAUCUAAGUACCCCGAGGAAAAGAAAUCAACCGAGAUUCCCCCAGUAGCGGCGAGCGAACGGGGAGCAGCCCAGAGCCUGAAUCAGUGUGUGUGUUAGUGGAAGCGUCUGGAAAGGCGCGCGAUACAGGGUGACAGCCCCGUACACAAAAAUGCACAUACUGUGAGCUCGAUGAGUAGGGCGGGACACGUGGUAUCCUGUCUGAAUAUGGGGGGACCAUCCUCCAAGGCUAAAUACUCCUGACUGACCGAUAGUGAACCAGUACCGUGAGGGAAAGGCGAAAAGAACCCCGGCGAGGGGAGUGAAAAAGAACCUGAAACCGUGUACGUACAAGCAGUGGGAGCACAGAGCAAUCUGUGUGACUGCGUACCUUUUGUAUAAUGGGUCAGCGACUUAUAUUCUGUAGCAAGGUUAACCGAAUAGGGGAGCCGAAGGGAAACCGAGUCUUAACUGGGCGUUAAGUUGCAGGGUAUAGACCCGAAACCCGGUGAUCUAGCCAUGGGCAGGUUGAAGGUUGGGUAACACUAACUGGAGGACCGAACCGACUAAUGUUGAAAAAUUAGCGGAUGACUUGUGGCUGGGGGUGAAAGGCCAAUCAAACCGGGAGAUAGCUGGUUCUCCCCGAAAGCUAUUUAGGUAGCGCCUCGUGAAUUCAUCUCCGGGGGUAGAGCACUGUUUCGGCAAGGGGGUCAUCCCGACUUACCAACCCGAUGCAAACUGCGAAUACCGGAGAAUGUUAUCACGGGAGACACACGGCGGGUGCUAACGUCCGUCGUGAAGAGGGAAACAACCCAGACCGCCAGCUAAGGUCCCAAAGUCAUGGUUAAGUGGGAAACGAUGUGGGAAGGCCCAGACAGCCAGGAUGUUGGCUUAGAAGCAGCCAUCAUUUAAAGAAAGCGUAAUAGCUCACUGGUCGAGUCGGCCUGCGCGGAAGAUGUAACGGGGCUAAACCAUGCACCGAAGCUGCGGCAGCGACGCUUAUGCGUUGUUGGGUAGGGGAGCGUUCUGUAAGCCUGCGAAGGUGUGCUGUGAGGCAUGCUGGAGGUAUCAGAAGUGCGAAUGCUGACAUAAGUAACGAUAAAGCGGGUGAAAAGCCCGCUCGCCGGAAGACCAAGGGUUCCUGUCCAACGUUAAUCGGGGCAGGGUGAGUCGACCCCUAAGGCGAGGCCGAAAGGCGUAGUCGAUGGGAAACAGGUUAAUAUUCCUGUACUUGGUGUUACUGCGAAGGGGGGACGGAGAAGGCUAUGUUGGCCGGGCGACGGUUGUCCCGGUUUAAGCGUGUAGGCUGGUUUUCCAGGCAAAUCCGGAAAAUCAAGGCUGAGGCGUGAUGACGAGGCACUACGGUGCUGAAGCAACAAAUGCCCUGCUUCCAGGAAAAGCCUCUAAGCAUCAGGUAACAUCAAAUCGUACCCCAAACCGACACAGGUGGUCAGGUAGAGAAUACCAAGGCGCUUGAGAGAACUCGGGUGAAGGAACUAGGCAAAAUGGUGCCGUAACUUCGGGAGAAGGCACGCUGAUAUGUAGGUGAAGUCCCUCGCGGAUGGAGCUGAAAUCAGUCGAAGAUACCAGCUGGCUGCAACUGUUUAUUAAAAACACAGCACUGUGCAAACACGAAAGUGGACGUAUACGGUGUGACGCCUGCCCGGUGCCGGAAGGUUAAUUGAUGGGGUUAGCGCAAGCGAAGCUCUUGAUCGAAGCCCCGGUAAACGGCGGCCGUAACUAUAACGGUCCUAAGGUAGCGAAAUUCCUUGUCGGGUAAGUUCCGACCUGCACGAAUGGCGUAAUGAUGGCCAGGCUGUCUCCACCCGAGACUCAGUGAAAUUGAACUCGCUGUGAAGAUGCAGUGUACCCGCGGCAAGACGGAAAGACCCCGUGAACCUUUACUAUAGCUUGACACUGAACAUUGAGCCUUGAUGUGUAGGAUAGGUGGGAGGCUUUGAAGUGUGGACGCCAGUCUGCAUGGAGCCGAC
rnacentral:rRNA from 1 species